CAGUUCAGUGUUCAGACAGUCAACAUGGAGGUCGGCGGCCUCCGCAUCAAACUCUUGGUCCACAUCUUAUUCCUGCUGUGUGCACGUGUUCAGGACGUUGAUUCACUGAUUCUCCGUCCUGAACCAAACAUACUGCAGUUCUUUGAAUAUGAGUCUCUGACCUUUCAU